UACCAGCACCCCGAGUGGUCGGGACGAUUAUUGGGCCUAAAGCAUCCGUAGCCGGUUCUGCAAGUCUUCCGUUAAAUCCACCUGCUCAACAGAUGGGCUGCGGAGGAUACUACAGGGCUAGGAGGCGGGAGAGGCAAGCGGUACUCGAGUGGGUAGGGGUAAAAUCCUCUGAUCCACUGAAAGACCACCAGUCGGCGAAGGCGGCUUGCCAGAACGCGCUCGACGGUGAGGGAUGAAAGCUGGGGGAGCAAACCGG
rnacentral:rRNA from 1 species